UACGUAGGGGGCAAGCGUUAUCCGGAUUCACUGGGUGUAAAGGGAGCGUAGACGGCGACGCAAGUCUGGAGUGAAAACCCGGGGCUCAACCCCGGGACUGCAUUGGAAACUGUCAGGCUAGAGUGUCGGAGAGGCAAGUGGAAUUCCUAGUGUAGCGGUGAAAUGCGUAGAUAUUAGGAGGAACACCAGUGGCGAAGGCGGCUUACUGGACUGUAACUGACGUUGAGGCUCGAAAGCGUGGGGAGCAAACAGG
rnacentral:rRNA from 1 species